AACGAACGCUGGCGGCAUGCCUAACACAUGCAAGUCGAACGAGACCUUCGGGUCUAGUGGCGCAGGGGUGCGUAACGCGUGGGAACCUGCCCUUAGGUUCGGAAUAACUCCCCGAAAGGGGUGCUAAUACCGGAUAAUGUCUUCGGACCAAAGAUUUAUCGCCUUUGGAUGGGCCCGCGUUGGAUUAGCUAGUUGGUAGGGUAAAAGCCUACCAAGGCGACGAUCCAUAGCUGGUCUGAGAGGAUGAUCAGCCACACUGGGACUGAGACACGGCCCAGACUCCUACGGGAGGCAGCAGUGGGGAAUAUUGGACAAUGGGCGAAAGCCUGAUCAAGCAAUGCCGCGUGAGUGAUGAAGGCCUUAGGGUUGUAAAGCUCUUUUACACGGGAUGAUAAUGACAGUACCGGGAGAAUAAGCUCCGGCUAACUCCGUG
rnacentral:rRNA from 1 species